rnacentral:lncRNA from 1 species
CUUUGCUCAAAAUUAACUCUGGGUCUGAAAAUAGGGGGUCUAGGCACUGUGGCCUGAUUAAACCCAACUGAGUGCUUGUUUGCAUGAGCAUUAAAAUACAUAGAGUCUGGAAUGAUUUGAGAAAUAGAUUGAACUUGUCUCUAUUUCUCAUCAUUAAGCACUAUACUGUAAACAGUGUCAAGGGAAGGAAAUGGCUGCAUCAUCAACAGAUUACUCCUAACCCCCAUGUAUGCUUCAUUUAACCCCAUAAGAAACUGGAAUACCUUGUUUUCAUCAUCUUCCUCAAUUAUUCCAUUUUUAGUAGCACACACACAUCUCUGCCCAUGAUUUGUGCACAUUGUGCCCAACUCAUCCCACAAGCCUCUGAGCUUGUCAAAUUAUGAGGCUACGUCUAAGUAGCCUUGAGAUGUGUGGGGGAAAGUUCCCUUUUUAAUUCAAAGAUUUUGGUCUUGUUAGGGGUACCAUAUCUUUUCUCAAUUUGGGACCAUAUACUCUGCGCAGUAUCAGAAUACUGCACACUAUCAGCAAUCUGAGGAGACAGGGAAGAGGUCACCCAGGAAAUAACCAUGUUAUUACAUCUAUCACACAGUCUCUGUUGAGCCACAUUAGUAGUAGGUCGAGGACAUGAGCCGUCAACAAAUCCGAUUUUGUUAUUAGCAGAUAAUGCAACAAUCAUCUUUCGCCUCCAACCCCCAUAACCACUACCCGAGAAGGGAGUGGGGACAAGAGAGACCCCAGGGACAUCAGAGGAAUAUACAAAAAG